rfam:Populus trichocarpa isolate Nisqually-1 chromosome 1, whole genome shotgun sequence.
AAUAUAAUGGAUUAUAUCCAUUAUUUCUUUUGGUAACCCAGACGAGUCUCCUAAUUUUUAGGGACUGAUGUCAUUUUUAACGUGUCUCCUAUUUUUAGGGACC